UCGGCUAGUUUUCAUAUUUAAAGAAUCAAAUGUAUUCUGGGAUAAAUAUUAGAAAUCAUUUACGAAAGGAAAAAGGUCAUACUAGUGAAAAAAGAAAUUAAUACUGACAUCAUUAGUAAUAGCUCGAUCAAAACAAGGCCUGAAAUAGGGAAUAAGCCCCUUGUUUUCUUUUUUCAAUAGAUUUUGUUUGAUUGGGUUUUUAUGUGAGUUUAUUUCAUGCAUUUCAUCUCAUAUGUCUUUUUGCUUAUUUGAAUGGAGAGUGUUUUCUUCCCCUCUUCUUUGUCUUCUUCAUUAUGUUCUCCUCUAUGUUUUUUUUCUUUUCUGAAAUACAUGUAUGUCUUGUUUUCGUCAGAUUUUUGAGCAAAUUAUUUCAUUAAACUGCUGUUUUUGGUUUCUAAUGAGAAAUCUGUUUUCUGAACCAGUUUCUUUUCUUCUGGAGAUUUGAGUACCUGCUCAAGCUUUUAAUUUGAACUUCUUGAGUGAUUCAGAUAUGAAACCCCAUUCACGAUAACUGGCAUAUCUAUCAGACAGAGAAAGGAGAGGUUCAUGCUGCAACCAGGAGGAGGAGCAAAGGGUCAAAUAAGCAGGCUCGUGGAUUUUUGGUCAAUAAAGCCGAAAGAUCUGUCUUUGACAUAUCAGAUGCGGAGUUAAACUUAAGCAUUGGGAGCCAGAUAUAACUAGAGGUGUCAAGCUGAGUUUGAACUGCAAAAUUUGUGAUGCCCAGCAUGUUUUCGAUCUUCAGCUGACACUAAAAUUCAUCUCUUUUAUAGUUGCUCAGUUUCAGCUUGACCAAAACCAGUAACAUUGUAAGUUAAAUCAUCCAUGGUCUACAGUUCAUUGCCUACAAUAACAUGGUUCAAAGUGAGCUCUUGGUUGGCUUGUCGCCAUUCAGGAUAGCACUCUCUCACGUCAGUUUUAUGGUUAUUUCAUCGGGAAUCAAACCGGGAGUAUUUGGAUGUUGAAUGAUUCAUCUAACAAUUAAGAUUUUGGGAUGAUAUCUAUAUCAUUGCACAUGUAUGUGAUGUGCAUUAUUGGAGUUUAGACAAUUUACUUCUAGAUGUAGGCUGCUCAUUUUUUUCAUGCCAUUCAUCCGCUGUAUCACAUUUUAUAUAACAUCUCAUGUCCACUUUUAACGCCUAGUUUGUAGAUUCAAAACUCACAAGCAAGUUACAAGCUCUCUGGAGUGUAGAUUGAUGGGAUAAGUUUUGCGUGUUCAAGAUGAAUGUUGAAACUGAGAGUCUAAAGCACCAGUUUCUAUAUUGUAUGAUUUCGACCAAGUUGUCUUCUAAUUUCACAUUCUUUUGUUAAUUAUGGAGAAAUUAUUGAGUGUACUAGGUGCUUGGGGACCAGGCAAGAAACCAAAUAGGAGACUACUGAAAUGCCGAAAAUAUUUGUUCUUACACUGCUUUACUUUUCUUUUGUUAAGGUGCAUAUAUGUGAGGUAACGCUAAAUAAUUUCUUAUAGAAGAGUAUCAGCAAAUUAUUGAAAUUUGGGAUGGUUUUGCAGAUUGGCGCAAAUUAGGGUUUUAUGUUACAGGGGUAUGAGCACAAGCCUGAGCAAGUAGAAGAUUCAUCAGAUACAUUUAGUAAAGUUUGGUUUUUUAUUAGGAUUUUUUGAAGGAGAAACAUAUAUGGAGGAGGCUAUGAAGAGCUAGGUCGCUAGUUUUGGAAGAAUUUUUUUGUGGGCUGAAACAAGAUUCUCAAGUAUUUACUAUUACCUUGUUUGUUAUUUCCAAGAGAACAGUUUCUGUGGGUUCCCGUAUGAG